rnacentral:rRNA from 1 species
ACGCUGGCGGCAUGCCUAACACAUGCAAGUCGAACGAGACCUUCGGGUCUAGUGGCGCACGGGUGCGUAACGCGUGGGAACCUGCCUUUAGGUUCGGAAUAACUCAGAGAAAUUUGAGCUAAUACCGGAUAAUGUCUUCGGACCAAAGAUUUAUCGCCUUUAGAUGGGCCCGCGUUGGAUUAGCUAGUUGGUGGGGUAAAGGCCUACCAAGGCGACGAUCCAUAGCUGGACUGAGAGGAUGAUCAGCCACACUGGGACUGAGGCACGGCCCAGACUCCUACGGGAGGCGGCAGUGGGGAAUAUUGGACAAUGGGCGAAAGCCUGAUCCAGCAAUGCCGCGUGAGUGAUGAAGGCCUUAGGGUUGUAAAGCUCUUUUACCCGAGAUGAUAAUGACAGUAUCGGGAGAAUAAGCUCCGGCUAACUCCGUG